rnacentral:lncRNA from 1 species
AAGCAUGACAGGGCUAGAGUUAUCUUAGGAUUAGUGAUCUCCUAAGAAGUGGGACGUAAAAGUUAGUAUCAGAGCCAAUCACUAGCAGAAAGUAUGAGAUGGGUCUCGACUAAGUUAGGAUCAUAUAGCGGGCAGAGUAUGGCUCUCCGGCCCAUGAAUACUGUGGGUGGAGCGCGGCUUCCCACAAGAUCGAUUCAGGUUAGGGAAACAAAUCUCACAUUGUUUGAUACUUGUGAGUUUCUAAAAAUCCGACUAUAAUAUUUUCAGUGGUGCCUAAGUCCAAGAGGCUAGAAAAGUUAAGCAUGUUAGAGCUAGAUUAGUCCUGUGAUGGAUGACUAGCUAGCUCUCUAGGAAGUGAGGCGUCACAAGAAUGCUAUCAGUAGUAAAUGAAUUCUAUUACUACUGAUGUUUUCAAUAAUGGAGCCUCCAAAUCGAUGACCAGUAUCGUUGCACAUGAUCUAGACCAGUUGAAAUAUUUAAAAAAUUAAAUUUUAAAUUUUUUCUAUAUUAUUGAUCUAAGGAUCAAAGGUCGCAAUAUUUUAAUUUUAAUAGUCGAUACGAGGUGUUGCUCAUUAAUAGUAUAAAAAAUCUAAAUCAGUUUGAUUUUUGUUAAAAAAUUAUUUGAAUUAUUUAAAACAAGAUCAAUAUUCUUCGAUUUAAGUACAAAAAUUCUAUAAUCAUU